rnacentral:rRNA from 1 species
GAUGAACGCUAGCUACAGGCUUAACACAUGCAAGUCGAGGGGUCUCGCGGGAGCUUGCUACCAAGAGACGACCGGCGCACGGGUGAGUAACGCGUAUCCAACCUGCCCUUCAUAUUGGGACAGCCUUCCGAAAGGAAGAUUAAUACCGAAUAACAUGAGAAAGUUGCCUGAUUCUCUCAUGAAAGCUCCGGCGAUGAAGGAUGGGGAUGCGUUCCAUUAGGUAGUAGGCGGGGUAACGGCCCACCUAGCCCACGAUGGAUAGGGGUUCUGAGAGGAAGGUCCCCCACACUGGAACUGAGACACGGUCCAGACUCCUACGGGAGGCAGCAGUGAGGAAUAUUGGUCAAUGGGCGCAAGCUUGAACCAGCCAAGUAGCGUGAAGGAUGACUGCCCUAUGGGUUGUAAACUUCUUUUAUACGGGAACAAACCUUGGUACGCGUACCAAAUUGCGUGUACCGUAUGAAUAAGCAUCGGCUAACUCCGUGCCAGCCGCCGCCGUAACAC